rnacentral:lncRNA from 1 species
UGGGCCUUCUUCCCCUCCUCAAUUUUCCUACCUAAUUGUCUAUUGACAUAUUUAUCCCUGUGAAAUCAAAAAUUUUAUUUAAGAUGAAAAUGUAUGAAAAAAAUGAAAAUUUAACUGUUCUGAACACUGAGAAACUGCGGAUCUUGUUCAACCGUCUAUUACGAAUAGCUAAUGGAGCCGUUACUUUUUAGUAAGUUUCCGGCGCAUUAUAGAAAAAUAACCCAAAUUAAAAUAAUGAGAAGUUAAAAGGGGAAGAGUUCAAAAUGGCCUUUAGAUGAGGGCUCAAAGAAGCUUCAAAUUUUGUUUAUGUUAUUCAAAGGCUAGGUUUAAGGUGAUGGUAUAUUUCCAAAUAGAUAUCUUUUGCAUACAUAUACUCGUAAAAUCGCAACUUUUUAUAUCUUACCGCUUAUUCGUAAGUUUAAUUAUACCAUGUGGGGGGCCAAAUUGUACAUAUAGUAGUUGUACGAGGAAAAUUGGUGCAUUAAUAACCCGUGGUCCUAAACAUACAUAUAUGUUUAGUAGCAGGGGCCCAUUUGCUUUCCGACUUUUGUGUGUGUAUAUAUGUUCAAGGCACAUGCAACUCUAAUUGCUACUUUGUUACAUAGUACCAUGUUUUGUUUUGGUUCUACUACAUACCUGUCCCAUUUACAGUCGCAUUGAGGGCCACGUUUGUAGAGGUAGCAGCAGGCACUUGGUCGCUCCCAUGUAGUAGACCUUUUGUUUUCACUGCUAAAAAUUUGCUUUAGAGGGUGUUUGGUUUCGCGGAAAAUAUUUCAUAAAACAGUUUUUUGGCUGGAAAAGUAUUUGAUUCUGUUCGGCUUAAUUUCUCCUUCUGAGGAGUUUUCGGUAUAGUUAUUACUGUAAAUGAGAUUAUGAGACCCGAAGUGAGAAACAGUUGCAGUGAAGUGCUUUUCCAUGUAAUGUUAUGCAAAUAGCACUUCAUUGAACAGCAUUGCACCUUUCGACGGUACUAGGCGGGCUCCAAAUAGCACUUCAUUGAACAGCAUUGCACCUUUCGACGGUACUAGGCGGGCUCUCAUUGUUUCAAAUUUCAAUGCAUGGUGUUGGCCAUGCUAUGCUGUCUUCUGAUGUGAGAAGUUUCGCAUCAAAAUUAUCUAAUUUUUGCAGACUGGCCUCAGUAAUUUCAUAUCUGCUGCAUUUGAACUAGAGCAGAGUUAAAGAUUCGUUUCGCGUAAUUGCUAAUACUAGUAGGUUGUCAAACCGCGAAUGGUUUUGUAGGUU